AGGGAACGGGCUUGGCAAAAUCAGCGGGGAAAACACCCUGUUGAGCUUGACUCUAGUCUGGUUCAGUAAAGAAACAUUGGAGACGUAGCAUAAGUGGGAGGGUGUCCUCUCGGGGACGGUUUCCGACCGUGAAAUACCACUACUUUGAUCGUUUCUUCACUCACUCGGUGAUGCGGAACACGAGUUCCCCGGACUGCGUGGGUUCUCUCCUUGGAGAGCGAAGCGCGCGGCGGGUCGGUCUCCGUCCGCGACGGGGCCGUUCGGCUGGCUUUGGUCGGGAUUCUCUUCGGUKGGUUUCCGGCCGGGUGGGCUGGGCGGUUUCUCGUUCCGUCGGGCGCGAGCUCCCGGCCACCUUACGGUCGCGCGCGAUCCGUGCCGAGGAAACCGCCAGACGGGGAGUUUGACUGGGGCGGUACAUCUGUCAAACGGUAACGCAGGUGUCCUAAGGCGAGCUCAGCGAGGACAGAAACCUCGCAUGGAGCAGAAGGGCAAAAGCCCGCUUGAUUACGCUUCUCAGUACGAAGACUAACCGCGAAAGCGUGGCCUAACGAUCCUUUUGACCUCUUCGGAGUUUGAAGUCAAGAGGUGUCAGAAAAGUUACCACAGGGAUAAC
rnacentral:rRNA from 1 species